rnacentral:rRNA from 1 species
GACGUAGGGCGCGAGCGUUGUCCGGAUUUAUUGGGCGUAAAGAGCUCGUAGGCGGCUUGUCGCGUCGUUCGUGAAAACCUGCAGCUCGACUGCAGGCUUGCGGGCGAUACGGGCAGGCUAGAGUUCGGUAGGGGAGACUGGAAUUCCUGGUGUAGCGGUGAAAUGCGCAGAUAUCAGGAGGAACACCUGUGGUGUAGACGGCUCUCUGGACCGCAACUGACGCUGAGACACGAAAGCGUGGGUAGCAAACAGG